UGUGGCUACAUCACAUUGAAACACUGGUUCACAUACAAUCUCUAAAGUUUAAGCAACAUUGAGCUUGGUCAGUACCUAAAUGGGUGACCACUUGGGAAUACUAGGUGCUGUAA